CCGGGGACGAUAGAGACAAUGCCAGAGCGCUCAAGUACGAAAAAUGUAUCACAAAUGGUAAAACUUGAUAAAAUAAACAAGUUGCAUACCUGAAAUGCUUGUACACUAUAUGGAAACUCAAAUUAACAGAAGGAAAUCCCUUGCAGUCGGAGCUGUGGACAUCUUGUUUACAUCAGUAACGCUAUAUUACGGAACGUGACGUUUCUACGCUAUAACGUUAGACGAAACGAAUUCAAUGUAUCGAUACAGAUUUUCAACGUUUAAACUCGUUAAAUCAACUAUUUUGCACCUCAAACUAUUUAAACGCGGACCUUAGGGCACUGAAUGCUGCUGGUAAAUUAUGACACUUUAAAUCAUGUUUAUAUAUGUGUACCUUCUGUUGUUCAGAUGCAGUUUACUGAUAUUUUUUUCUUCAGUUCCCGGCAAGUGACAGAAAGUUCAAACCAAAUUAAUCAGUUUUAACUUUUCCACAUAUCAUGGUUCCUUUCAGUAAAUGACAGGACAAUUAUUAUAAUAAAUUUCUUCAUUAAUUUAUGAGGGCCCU
rnacentral:lncRNA from 1 species